GUGAGGAAUAUUGGUCAAUGGGCGAGAGCCUGAACCAGCCAAGUCGCGUGAAGGAAGAAGGAUCUAUGGUUCGUAAACUUCUUUUGCAGGGGAAUAAAGUGCAGGACGUGUUCUGUUUUGUAUGUACCCUGAGAAUAAGGAUCGGCUAACUCCGUGCCAGCAGCCGCGGUAAUACGGAGGAUCCGAGCGUUAUCCGGAUUUAUUGGGUUUAAAGGGUGCGUAGGUGGUUUGAUAAGUCAGCGGUGAAAGUUUGCAGCUUAACUGUAAAAAUGCCGUUGAAACUGUCGGACUUGAGUGUAAAUGAGGUAGGCGGAAUGCGUGGUGUAGCGGUGAAAUGCAUAGAUAUCACGCAGAACUCCGAUUGCGAAGGCAGCUUACUAAGCUACAACUGACACUGAAGCACGAAAGCGUGGGGAUCAAACAGGAUUAGAAACCCGGGUAGUCC
rnacentral:rRNA from 1 species